rnacentral:rRNA from 1 species
AUUUGACCUCCAAUCAGGUAGGACUA